GCUUUUUCGAGCCGCCUCUCGUAGCCCCGCAGAUCGGACGCUGAAGUUUCGGAUCUCACUUCCGGCGAACUUCUCCGAUGAAAGUUCGGCGAGCUUUUCCGGCCGUCUCAGUCGUCCCCUGCGAAAACCGUCACCAUACCGAGGUUCGUAUCGAUCUCCUCUACACCGGCACGCUAUUUGUUUGACUAAUCCAUUCUCGUUCAUCGUAUCCUAAUAUUUGUUUGUCUAACUCCGGCGAACCUCCAUGGACGUCAUCUUAUCCUUCGUUCCAGCCACUGCGAUCAUGUACGACGACAUCGCCGACCCUGCGCCCCACGCCACAGCCCCGCAGCACCCCGGCUCGCGCCC
rnacentral:lncRNA from 1 species